rnacentral:rRNA from 1 species
UACAGAGGUCUCAAGCGUUGUUCGGAUUCAUUGGGCGUAAAGGGCGCGUAGGCGGCGGGGUAAGUCGGGUGUGAAAUCUCAGAGCUCAACUCUGAAAUGGCACUUGAUACUGCUCUGCUAGAGGACUGGAGAGGAGAUUGGAAUUCACGGUGUAGCAGUGAAAUGCGUAGAUAUCGUGAGGAAGACCGGUGGCGAAGGCGGCUUCCUGGAACGACACUGACGCUGAGACGCGAAAGCGUGGGGAGCAAACAGG